GUUAUUUUGGCAGAUUAGUGCGAUUGAUUUAGGAUCUUUAUAUGUAUUUUUACAAAUAACA
rnacentral:tRNA from 1 species